GAGGAUGUAGCUCAGUAGCACAGUGCCUGCCUGGGAAGCUCAAGGUCCUGAGUUAGAUUCCCAGUACCCUCC
rnacentral:tRNA from 1 species